UGCGUAGGCGGGAUGAUAAGUCAGUGGUGAAAUCCUACAGCUUAACUGUAGAACUGCCAUUGAUACUGUCAUUCUUGAGUACAACUGAAGUGGGCGGAAUGUGUCAUGUAGCGGUGAAAUGCAUAGAUAUGACACAGAACACCGAUUGCGAAGGCAGCUCACUAAACUGUAACUGACGCUGAGGCACGAAAGCGUGGGGAGCGAACAGGAUUAGAUACCCUGGUAGUCC
rnacentral:rRNA from 1 species